rnacentral:rRNA from 1 species
GCAUAUCAAUAAGCGGAGGAAAAGAAACCAACAGGGAUUGCCUCAGUAACGGCGAGUGAAGCGGCAACAGCUCAAAUUUGAAAUCUGGCUCUUUCAGGGUCCGAAUUGUAAUUUGCAGAGGAUGCUUUGGGUGCGGGCGCCUUCCGAGUUCCCUGGAACGGGACGCCAUAGAGGGUGAGAGCCCCGUCUGGUAGGAUGCCCAGCCCGUGUAAAGCUCCCUCGACGAGUCGAGUAGUUUGGGAAUGCUGCUCUAAGGGGAGGUAUACUCCUUCCAAAGCUAAAUACCGGCUGGAGACCGAUAGCGCACAAGUAGAGUGAUCGAAAGAUGAAAAGCACUUUGAAAAGAGAGUCAAAUAGCACGUGAAAUUGUUGAAAGGGAAGCGCUCGCUACCAGACUUGGGUACGCGGUUCCGUAGGUGCUCCGCACCUGCGUACUCCUCGUGCCCAGGCCAGCAUCAGUUCUUCGUCGGGUUAAAAGGCUUCGGGAAUGUGGCUCGCCUCGGUGAGUGUUAUAGCCCGUUGUGUCAUGCCCGGUGGGGGACUGAGGUACGCGCUCCGCAAGGAUGCUGGCGUAAUGGUAGCUAGUGACCCGUCUUGAAACACGGACCAAGGAGUCAACCUUAUGUGCAAGUGCCCGGGCGUAAAACCCCAGCGCGGAAUGAAAGUGAACGUAGGUGAGAGCUUCGGCGCAUCACCGACCGAUCCUGAUGUCCUCGGACGGAUUUGAGUGUGAGCAUAUAGGGUUGGACCCGAAAGAAGAUGAACUAUGCGUGUGUAGGGUGAAGCCAGAGGAAACUCUGGUGGAGGCUCGCAGCGGUUCUGACGUGCAAAUCGAUCGUCAAACAUGCGCAUGGGGGGCGAAAGACUAAUCGAAUCUUCUGGGUAGCUGGGUUUCCGCCGAAG